AGUAUUUUGACUAUACAAAGGUAUUGAAAUAAGACUUUAAUUGAGUGCUAAGAGAAUGGAAUUACAGGAAAAAUCUUUUUUAAACUAACAAUUAAAGUUAUUUUUACUUGUGAAGAAACAGUAAUAGAAAUUAAGGACAAGAAGACCCUAAGAAUUUUUAGAAACAUAUUUCAAUAAAGAAGAUAUGUUUCUUUAAUUGGGGCGAUUAAUUAAUAUUCAAAACUUUUUUGAAAAAACAUGAACCGUUUAAUAGCGGUAAAUUGGUAAAAAUACUCUAGGGAUAACAGCGUAAUAAUUUUCGAUAGUUCAUAUUGACAAAAUAGUUUGCGACCUCGAUGUUGGAUUAGGAUAUUUUUUUGAUGAAGAAGUUAAAAAAAAAAGUUUGUUCAACUUUUAAUUUCCU
rnacentral:rRNA from 1 species